CCUACGGGUGGCAGCAGUGAGGAAUAUUGGUCAAUGGACGAGAGUCUGAACCAGCCAAGUAGCGUGAAGGAUGACUGCCCUAUGGGUUGUAAACUUCUUUUAUAUGGGAAUAAAACGUUCCACGUGUGGGAUUUUGUAUGUACCAUAUGAAUAAUGAUCGGCUAACCCCGUGCCAGCAGCCGCGGUAAUACGGAGGGUCCGAGCGUUAUCCGGAUUUAUUGGGUUUAAAGGGAGCGUAGGUGGAGUGUUAAGUCAGUUGUGAAAGUUUGCGGCUCAACCGUAAAAUUGCAGUUGAAACUGGCAGUCUUGAGUACAGUAGAGGUGGGCGGAAUUCGUGGUGUAGCGGUGAAAUGCUUAGAUAUCACGAAGAACUCCGAUUGCGAAGGCAGUUCACUGGACUGCAACUGACACUGAGGCUCGAAGGUGUGGGUAUCAAACAGGAUUAGAUACCCGUGUAGUC
rnacentral:rRNA from 1 species